AUUGACAACAAUUCUGAUAAUGAGUUUAAAUUUCCAUUAAAUGAGUAAUCUGCAAAUGCCUCUUACACAGAAGAAAAUUCUUUUAGUGAAUUAAGUGAUAGCGAAUUUGACAUCAAAGACAAAUUAUGUAAUUGGUGCUCUUCCUACAACAUUUCUCAUGCAGGAAUAUCAGAUCUUUUGCAGAUACUCAGUUUUGCAGCUUUGCAAUUACCACUUCUGUGUAUCUAUGUCACAAGUUAUAAGCAACUUCCAAAGACCAAGAAAAAAAUAAAGGUUUUCAGAAAAACGGAGAAUUCGCUCACCAAAAGUUGGUUACUAACUUGAUCAAGGAGGUUGCACUCUUGUGGAGGAUACUGGCCGUAAUAGUACUGUAAUAACUGUAAUAUAAACUAAAUACAUAUGAACCGAAGUAAAUAUAACUCCAGAAAAUUUAAACUGUAACGAGGAAUGCACAUCAAUGAUCGAAUGUGAGGGGCUUGGCUUUGCGUCACAAGGCUGAUAUGAUAAACAAGCCAAACGUGCUAAAGCCUUAAAAAACACAAGGCUUCACCGAGAAGUACCUUUG